rnacentral:rRNA from 1 species
GUCUUAAUGAAUUUAAUUUUAAGUCGAUCUGCCCAAUGAUAAAAAUUUAAUGGCUGCAGUAUAAUUAACUGUACAAAGGUAGCAUAAUCAGUUGUUUUUUAAUUGAAAACUAGUAUGAAAGAAUUAAUGAGAUAUAUACUGUCUCAUAUAUAUUUUAUGAAUUUAAAUAUUUAGUAAAAAUGCUAAAAUUAUUUUAUGGGACGAUAAGACCCUAUAGAAUUUUAUAUUAAAAGUUUAAUUAAAUUAAAAUAAUUAUAUUUAUUAAUAUUUAAUUGGGAGGAUUAGUAAAUUUUAAAAACUUUAUUUAAAAAUUAAACUUAGAUUAAAGGAUUUUUUAGAGCUUGUAUUAUAAAUUAAAAGAAUAAAUUACCUUAGGGAUAACAGCGUAAUAUCUUUUAGAAGAUCAAAUUUAAAAAGAUGAUUGCGACCUCGAUGUUGAAUUAAGAUUAAUUUUAAAUGCAGGAGUUUAAUAAUUGAGUCUGUUCGACUUUUAAAAUCUC